AUGCAUAACAGCAAGGAGUUCUUGUCUGCAAUCACGGGUCAUGUGCAUUUGGAAUCCUUGUUGGUGCGGCUUGACAAGGACAAUCAAGGUUGCUUGGACUUGGAUGACACCCCCGUGCCUUGGGAGAACCUACAGAGUCUUAAAUUAUAUGGGCUUCAAGACAAGCUGGCACUAUCAAUGAGCAAUCUUAGCAAGCUCAGGAAGUUGAAUCUGGAGAUGGACACUUUGGAGCCAAGUGACAUUAAGGCAGUGUUCGGCAACCCACCAGCUCCUCAAAAUACGAGGAGUUGCGGAGUGGAGAGACUGCAGCUCCGUAUUGUUUAA
rnacentral:rRNA from 1 species